rnacentral:rRNA from 1 species
AUUGAACGCUGGCGGCAUGCCUAACACAUGCAAGUCGAACGGUAACAGGAAGAAGCUUGCUUCUUUGCUGACGAGUGGCGGACGGGUGAGUAAUGUCUGGGAAACUGCCUGCUGGAGGGGGAUAACUACUGGAAACGGUAGCUAAUACCGCAUAACGUCGCAAGACCAAUGAGGGGGACCUUCGUUCCUCUUGUCAUCGGAUGUGCCCAUAUGGGAUUAGCUAGUAGGUGGUGUAAAGGCUCACCUAGGCGACGAGCCCUAGCUGCUAUGAGAGGAUGACCAGACACACUGGGUCUGAGACACGGCACAGACUCCUGCGGGAGGAAGCAGUGGGGAAUAUUGCACAAUGGGGGAAAGCCUAAUGCUGCCAUGCCGCGUGUAUGCAGAAGGACUUCUGGUUGUAGAGUACUUUCGGCGGGGAGGAUGGGAGUAACGUUAAUCCCUUAUCUUAUUGACGUUACCCGCAGAAGAAGCACCGGCUAACUCCGUG